GACGUAGGGUGCAAGCGUUGUCCGGAUUUACUGGGCGUAAAGCGCGCGUAGGCGGCCUGUUAAGUGUGAAGUGAAAUUUCCAGCGCUCAACGCGGAAACUGCUUCGCAUACUGGCAGGCUUGAGGGAUGCAGAGGUAAGUGGAAUUCCUGGUGUAGCGGUGACAUGCAUUGAUAUCAGGAGGAACACCCAUGGCGAAGGCAGCUUACUGGGCAUCAUCUGACGCUGAGGCGCGAAAGCGUGGGGAGCAAACAGG
rnacentral:rRNA from 1 species